GACAUAGGUGGCGAACGUUAUCCGGAAUUAUUGGGCGUAAAGGAUGCGUAGAUGGUAGAAUAAGUUACUGGUCGAUGCCAAACUCAAUUUGGCGGAAGCCGAUAAUACUGUUCUACUCGAGGGCAGGAGAGGUUGUUGGAAUUCUGUGUGGAGCGGUGAAAUGCGUUGAUCUACAGAGGAACACCAAAAAAGGCGAAGGCAAUCAACUAUGCUGUUCCUGACAUUGAGGCAUGAAAGCGUGGGGAGCAAACCGG
rnacentral:rRNA from 1 species